rnacentral:rRNA from 1 species
GCUUGUCUCAAAGAUUAAGCCAUGCAUGUCUAAGUAUAAGCAACCUUAUACAGCGAAACUGCGUACAGCUCAUUAUAUCAGCAAUUAUUUAUUUGAAGAUCACCUAUUACAUGGAUAACCGUGGUAAUUCUAGAGCUAAUACAUGCGAAAAGGAUGUCUUCGGACAUCUGUACUUACUGGUUUUGAAUCAUUGUGUACGUGAGAGUCAGUAACAGUUAUACGGAUCGCCAUCGGCGACGUGUCAAGCGAAUUUCUGAUCUAUCAGCUUGAUGAGAGGGUAGUGUCCUCUCAUGGCUACGACGGAUAACGGGGAAUUGGGGUUCGAUUCCGGAGAGGGAGCUUGAGAAAUAGCUACCACAUCUAAGGAAGGCAGCAGG